AGGGGUGGUGGCGCAGUUGGCUAGCGCGUAGGUCUCAUAGCUUAAAACAGUGAGUUAUCCUGAGGUCGAGAGUUCGAGCCUCUCUCACCCCAU
rnacentral:tRNA from 1 species